AAUGGGCGUAAGCCUGAACCAGCCAUCCCGCGUGCAGGAAGACGGCGCUAUGCGUUGUAAACUGCUUUUCCAGGGGAAGAAAACUCUCGUCGUGACGAGACUUGCCGGUACCUUGGGAGUAAGCAUCGGCUAACUCCGUGCCAGCAGCCGCGGUAAUACGGAGGAUGCGAGCGUUAUCCGGAUUUAUUGGGUUUAAAGGGUGCGUAGGCGGAUUAAUAAGUCAGUGGUGAAAACCUGCAGCUUAACUGUAGAACUGCCAUUGAUACUGUUAGUCUUGAGUACGGUCAAGGUAGGCGGAAUGUGUAAUGUAGCGGUGAAAUGCUUAGAUAUUACACAGAACACCGAUUGCGAAGGCAGCUUACUGGGCCAUUACUGACGCUGAUGCACGAAAGCGUGGGGAGCGAA
rnacentral:rRNA from 1 species